CCUACGGGAGGCAGCAGUGAGGAAUAUUGGUCAAUGGACGAGAGUCUGAACCAGCCAAGUAGCGUGAAGGAUGACUGCCCUAUGGGUUGUAAACUUCUUUUAUAUGGGAAUAAAAUGUUCCACGUGUGGGAUUUUGUAUGUAACAUAUGAAUAAGGAUCGGCUAACUCCGUGCCAGCCGCCGCGGUAAUACGGAGGAUCCGAGCGUUAUCCGGAUUUAUUGGGUUUAAAGGGAGCGUAGGUGGAUUGUUAAGUCAGUUGUGAAAGUUUGCGGCUCAAACGUAAAAUUGCAGUUGAAACUGGCAGUCUUGAGUACAGUAGAGGUGAGCGGAAUUCGUGGUGUAGCGGUGAAAUGCUUAGAUAUCACGAAGAACUCCGAUUGCGAAGGCAGCUCACUGGACUGCAACUGACACUGAGGCUCGAAAGUGUGGGUAUCAAACAGGAUUAGAUACCCGGGUAGUC
rnacentral:rRNA from 1 species